rnacentral:rRNA from 1 species
CCCUUAGAUGUCCUGGGCCGCACGCGCGCUACACUGACAUGUUCAACAAGCCUCCUAGUUCGACAGGAUUUGGGAAAUCUUUGAACGCAUGUCGUGAUAGGGAUAGAUCAUUGCAAUUAUUGAUCUUGAACGAGGAAUUCCUAGUAAACGCGAGUCAUCAGCUCGCAUUGAUUACGUCCCAGCCCUUUGUACACACCGCCCGUCGCACCUACCGAUUGAAUGUUUCGGUGAAGAUUCCGGAUAGGACUUUUUUGAUUUAUUUCAAUUUUGUCUUAAAAGCUAUCUAAACCUCAACAUUUAGAGGAAGGUGAAGUCGUAACA